CCAUUUCAUGCUCAAAUUCAUGCCUUCCAUCGCUAGGGAACCUGGGAGAGAGGAAGAAAAUCAGCACUUGCUAGCCAGGAUUCCCACCGAAUAGAACCCCACAGAAGGCGUUCUAGUUCUCUAUUCACGCUGCAACCAACCCAAUCAGGGGAACCUUCCCCGGAAGCAGCUUGGUUACUCGCACACUCUGCUACACCAUUUGCCCUUGCCUGUCCCAUUCCUUUCUCAUGCUUUGUGCGACCAAAUUGGGUGUAAAGCUCUUUUGCUGAAUAAUAGAUAGCUUGGUGGUUUUCUUUAGAAAAUCACCUGGCCUCAUGUUUGAAUCGCAGCUACCUGCUUCUAGUCAUACAUAGCAGCAGUUUAUACUUGACAGUGUGAACAACAGCCAAGCCACGAUUCCUCAGGGGCACACAAUUAAGACGUGAGUUUGAGGGCUAAUGGACAGCUAAGGCAUUUGUGGAAGAAGAAGAAAAUGGCUUAGUAACCAUUGUUAAAACAUAUUUUCCCCAAGAUUGGACAGAUGUUUCUGGAGGAGAAGGGCAGUUUUUAUAUUUGGGCACCUGUUUACCACUUGAACCACAAUCAUGUAGUUCAGGGAGUAACUGUGGGCCUCAUGUGUUUUCUCUGACCCCAUCGCCCUAUCAAUCAUCUACUGCAGAGACACCAUCGCCCUGUCAUCUACUGCAGAGACACCAUCGCCCUACCAUCUACUGCAGAGACACCAUCGCCCUACCAUCUACUGCAGAGACACCAUUGCCCUAUCAUCUACUUCAGAGACACCAUUGCCCUAUCAUCUACUGUAGAGACACCAUCACCCUGCAGAGACACCAUCGCCCUAUCAUCUACUGCAGAGACACCAUUGCCCUACCAUCUACUGUAGAGACACCAUCACCCUGCAGAGACACCAUCGCCCUGUCAUCUACUGCAGAGACACCAUCGCCCUAUCAUCUGAACAUAAACCCAGGAAGGGAAGGGCACUGGGCACAGCAAGGCAGCAUGAGGAGGACUAGCUUCAUGUUAGCUGGGCUGGAUGUCAAUAACUUAAUUUUGAGAUAACCAAAUGUAUUUAGUUUUUCUUUUUACAUACAUUUCAGGAUAGGAAUAAAAAAAGUUACCUUUAGGAACAGG